CCCCUCUUAGGACUGCACAUGGAGAGUUUCUAGGACUCUACCAGGCUUGGUUACUGGAGGGAGAGUCAAGCAGAGACCUACCCAUUCCAUUGCUAGCUUGGGCAGUGGCUAGCAAAUGGAAAGCAAUCUGUUACAAGU
rfam:Ornithorhynchus anatinus chromosome 2, whole genome shotgun sequence.